rfam:Erinaceus europaeus unplaced genomic scaffold scaffold00426, whole genome shotgun sequence
UGGUCCACAUUCCCAGAGGGAUUAAGAAUAGGAAAGUUUUGGCUAGUGCAAUCCAGUGGUGAGCUGAGAUCAAACCCCAGUUUAGGAAACAUGGUUGUUCUCCAUGUGGAUGACUCUGUGCCGAAAACAUGGGGACAAUG